rnacentral:rRNA from 1 species
UACGUAGGUGGCAAGCGUUGUCCGGAUUUAUUGGGUUUAAAGGGUGCGUAGGCGGUUCCAUAAGUCAGUGGUGAAAUACGGCAGCUCAACUGUCGAGGUGCCAUUGAUACUGCGGAACUUGAGUACUGAUGAGGUAGGCGGAAUUGACGGUGUAGCGGUGAAAUGCUUAGAUAUCGUCAAGAACACCGAUAGCGAAGGCAGCUUACCAAGCAGUAACUGACGCUGAGGUGCGAAAGCGUGGGGAGCAAACAGG